UACAGAGGUCUCGAGCGUUGUUCGGAUUCAUUGGGCGUAAAGGGUGCGUAGGUGGCGCUGUAAGUCAGGUGUGAAAUUUCGGAGCUUAACUCCGAAACUGCAUUUGAUACUGCGGUGCUUGAGGACUGGAGAGGAGACUGGAAUUUACGGUGUAGCAGUGAAAUGCGUAGAGAUCGUAAGGAAGACCAGUGGCGAAGGCGAGUUUCUGGACAGUUACUGACGCUGAGGCACGAAGGCCAGGGGAGCAAACGGG
rnacentral:rRNA from 1 species